AAUUUUGAAACUUUUAUUGCUCAUUUUUUCUUUCAUUUAAUUUAAUUAUCUUUUAAAAGAAUGCAAGGAAAUGCGACAUUUUAAUAAUUAAAGUAAAGUGGUUUUAAUUAUUUUUUUUUAUUUGUGUGUUGUGUGCAUAUAUGUUUUUAUUAAGUAAAGAGUUUGUGUGAAAAUAAAUGCUAAAACACUUCAAUUUAAUUAAGAUUGUGUCCGUAUUGAAGAGAAGUAAACACUGGAUUAAUGCUUAAAUCUCCCCAAAACAAGUGUGACAACAAAUUGCGUUAAUGAAAAAUAAACCCAAAAUGGUGGAUAGCAAUCAAAAUCUCAAGUAGUGAGUUUAUGUAAUGGACACAAUAAUGACCAAUGCUUGUGUGGAAGGAAGGAGAGUGGACGUUGUUGUUGUUGUAUUGUUGCAGGUAUCAGUGAUAUGAAGGGGGUGCGAUGGGGUCAUAGUUUAUACUGCUGACCUCACCGGUAAUGGUCAACAGCGAUCUGGGGCAAGGGUGGGAGUAGAGCAAGUAGAUGUAUUAUUGACCUUGGUGGCGGUGGUCAAAUAACAAUGUUUGGGAAGUGAACAGUUGUGUUUGUUGACCUUAGUAACGGUCAAUAGUGAUGAACCGAAUAGAAGUCCUGUAGUGUAACUAAAUGCUAGUCAAUACUACGAGUGCAUAAGGAAGCAACUGACCCAAUAUGGGUAGCCAACUAUGUGGGACUAAUAUAGAGCUGACCAAGUGAGGGCGCACUAGCAAUGUAAGGUAUCAUACAAGUGUCCAGGGCAGGUAGCUACCAAUAAAAGGUGCUGUGCAGCUGUCCCAGUGAAUGGAUACUGAGCAAGCUGAUUUAACAGAAUAUUUCAUAUGCUCUGCACUGUACUGACCCCUGGCAAAGGCACCAAAUUCUCAUUGGCCAGGAAAGAUUUUUAUAAAGAAGACCUGUAAUCGAAUACAGUUUAUUAGUGAAACACUGUACAACUAGUGUUUCAUUACAUAGUAGUGUUAGGCUCAAAUGUUCCGACCCAGAGUGAGUAACUAGCGAUGUAAGGUACUACACAGCCAACCCAAAAUGGGAACCUAACAAUGUAAGGUACUACACAGCCAACCCAAAGUGGGAACCUAACAAUGUAAGGUACUACACUGCCAACCCAAAGUGGGAACCUAGGAAUGUAAGGUACUACACUGCUAACCCAAAAUGGGAACCUAACAAUGUAAGGUACUACACUGCCAACCCAAAGUGGGAACCUAGGAAUGUAAGGUACUACACUGCCAACCCAAAGUGGGAACCUAGGAAUGUAAGGUACUACACUGCUAACCCAAAAUGGGAACCUAACAAUGUAAGGUACUACACUGCCAACCCAAAGUGGGAACCUAACAAUGUAAGGUACUACACUGCUAACCCAAAGUGGGAACCUAACAAUGUAAGGUACUACACUGCCAACCCAAAAUGGGAACCUAACAAUGUAAGGUACUACACAGCCAACCCAAAGUGGGAACCUAACAAUGUAAGGUACUACACUGCUAACCCAAAGUGGGAACCUAACAAUGUAAGGUACUACACUGCCAACCCAAAGUGGGAACCUAGGAAUGGAAGCUAGUCAUAUUAGGUACUAUGAAACUGACCCAAUGUGGGUAACUAGCAUAGUAGAGUACUUUACAACUAACCCAAUGUGGGUAGCCAGCAAUAUAAGGUACCAUGCAGCUGAUUCAAUACAGGAAGCUAGCAAUGUACAGUACCACAUAGCUAACCCAAUGUGGGUAGCUGAUAUUGUAGGGUACUGUACAGUAGACCCAAUAUGGGUACCUAGUAAUGGAGGGUACUAUGCAGAAAUCCAAUCUGGAUAGCUGGCAUAGUAGAGUACCAAUAACUAACCCAAUGUGGGUAGCUAAUACCGUAGGGUACUGUACAGUAGACCCAAUAUGGGUACCUAACAAUGGAGGGUACUAUGCAGCAAAUCCAAUCUGGAUAGCUAGCAUAGUAGAGUACCAAUAACUAACUCAAUGUAGGUAGCUACCAAUGUAGGGUACUGUACAGUAGACCCAAUAUGGGUACCUAGCGAUGGAGGGUACUAUGCAGCAAAUCCAAUCUGGAUAGCUAGCAUAGUAGAGUACCAAUAACUAACCCAAUGUGGGUAGCUAAUAUCGUAGGGUACUGUACAGUAGACCCAAUAUGGGUACCUAGCAAUGGAGGGUACUAUGCAGCAAAUCCAAUCUGGAUAGCUAGCAUAGUAGAGUACCAAUAACUAACCCAAUGUGGGUAGCUAAUAUCGUAGGGUACUGUACAGUAGACCCAAUAUGGGUACCUAGCAAUGGAGGGUACUAUGCAGCAAAUCCAAUCUGGAUAGCUGGCAUAGUAGAGUACCAAUAACUAACCCAAUGUGGGUAGCUAAUAUCGUAGGGUACUGUACAGUAGACCCAAUAUGGGUACCUAGCAAUGGAGGGUACUAUGCAGAAAUCCAAUCCGGAUAGCUGGCAUAGUAGAGUACCAAUAACUAACCCAAUGUGGGUAGCUAAUAUCGUAGGGUACUGUACAGUAGACCCAAUAUGGGUACCUAGCAAUGGAGGGUACUAUGCAGAAAUCCAAUCUGGAUAGCUAGCAUAGUAGAGUACCAAUAACUAACCCAAUGUGAGUAGCUAAUACCGUAGGGUACUGUACAGUAGACCCAAUAUGGGUACCUAGCAAUGGAGGGUACUAUGCAGAAAUCCAAUCUGGAUAGCUGGCAUAGUAGAGUACCAAUAACUAACCCAAUGUGGGUAGCUAAUACCGUAGGGUACUGUACAGUAGACCCAAUAUGGGUACCUAGCAAUGGAGGGUACUAUGCAGAAAUCCAAUCUGGAUAGCUAGCAUAGUAGAGUACCAAUAACUAACCCAAUGUGGGUAGCUAAUACCGUAGGGUACUGUACAGUAGACCCAAUAUGGGUACCUAGCAAUGGAGGGUACUAUGCAGCAAAUCCAAUCUGGAUAGCUAGCAUAGUAGAGUACCAAUAACUAACCCAAUGUGGGUAGCUACCAAUGUAGGGUACUAUGUAGCUGACUGAAUGUAAUAGGGGUAUUCUCCUUUAAUUAUACAACUCACAACUCAACACUAUCAUACCUUCAGAUAUCGAUUCAUCACUUGUACAAGGGUUUCACUUUUGUCUUUUUAAAUAAAAGAUGGUAAAAUAAAAAUUAAGAUCAUAAUCAGAAUGAUUCUAAAUCGGAAAUUAUUUAUAGUUUAAAUGCGUUUAAUCCUCCUCUACCAUAUAACUUAAGAUUUUGAAAAAUUCUCAAUUAACACCUGUUACAUAGCAACAAAUGUUUAAGCAGUAUGAUGGUAAGAAAUAGUAAAGUAAAAUAAAUAAAUGAAUUAAUUAAAUGAGUGGCUGUGUGGUAAGUAGCUUGCUAACCAACCACAUGGUUCCGGGUUCAGUCCCACUGCGUGGCAUCUUGGGCAAGUGUCUUCUGCUAUAGCCCCGGGCUGACCAAUGCCUUGUGAGUGGAUUUGGUAGACGGAAACUGAAAGAAGCCUGUCGUAUAUAUGUAUAUAUAUAUAUAUAAAUGUGUGUGUAUAUGUUUGUGUGUCUGUGUUUGUCCCCCUAGCAUUACUUGACAACCGAUGCUGGUGUGUUUACGUCCCCGUCACUUAGCGGUUCGGCAAAAGAGACCGAUAGAAUAAGUAUUGGGCUUACAAAGAAUAAGUCCCGGGGUCGAUUUGCUCGACUAAAGGCGGUGCUCCAGCAUGGCCACAGUCAAAUGACUGAAACAAGUAUAAAAGAAUAAUAAAAAAAAAGAGUAAAAGGGUUAGUUAAAGCCAAUAGUUUUAAUUGAAUCAAAUAAUAAAAUUUCUGUUAGUGAAUAUUAAAACUAACUUCAAUGAAAUCGUUAGAUUACUGGUUCUUCUCUAAAAAUAUUUUUACGUCUCUAAGUAUAAUUACUUUUUCUUUUUGAAACUCAAUUCUAUGUGUGUGUAUGUGUAUAUAUAUAUAUAGGGGAAAAGUUGAUGAAAAAAAACAAAAGACGAAGAAAAGGUGUAGAAAACAAACAAACGUGUAUUAGUAUAAAGCUCAGGAAUUGAAAAAGUCUUUUACGUUUCAAGCCUACGCUUGUCUACAGAAAGGGACACAGAAAAAAACAAGGAGAAAAAAAAAAAUGUGUGUAGUGGCUACCGAUCUUUCAUGGUGACUGUAUAUAUAUAUAUAUGUGUGUGUGUGUGUAUGUAUGUAUGUAUGUAUGUAUGUAUGUAGAUAUACAUGCACAAAUGUAACCAGGUUCUUGUAGAAAUUGUCAAGUGUACUGAUUGUUAAAGGAUGAAAGCUAAUAAACACCAGACACCACAAUCAAUGGAUAUCAAAUUCCCAAAGGAAGGUGACAAAGCACCCAAAGUGAAAGCAAUGGAAGGGGACUCGUUUUCUAUUUUGUGUUCAGCCUCAGACUGGGAAAUGCAAGUGGACCUGAGGGGCAGAUUUGUCUUUUCAGAAGAGAUAGUGGUGACACCACUCUAACCAGACAUAUUCCUGCUCUCUAGGAAAAUCAAAAACGGUCAUCGUGGUUGAACGCACAAUGCCCUGAGAGGACAGACUCUGUAUUUCCCACCAGGUAACGAAAAUGAAAUAUCAGGAUUCAGUCAACAAGACCCUAGUCAAGGGCUAGCAUGCAGCCUCAUUCUCCAUUGAAGUCAGUUCCUACAGCUUUCCUUCUAGAUCUGUGUGCUAUUUCCAGCAGAAAAUAGGUCUGGAACCUAGACAAUUAAAGAAAGCCAUCUAGGAAAUAGGCAUGGCAGCUGAAACUAGCUUAAAGUGCCUAUGGUUGAUAAGAAACCACAAGUGGAACCCUUCUGUAGGUGAAAACUAUGUCUUCACUGCCUCACUCGGAUGAAGUGUACAGGCUAAGGGGGAAAAUGCAUGUGACUUUGAGAUACCUGCUGACUUUACAGAAGGAUUUCUAGCAUUGUAAUGAACUUAAAAGAGCUUGCAAAACCUCUGAGUAACGUUAGAAGUUUCUGCACGGAGCAAGGCAUCUCUGAUGUUAUACAUAUGUGUGUGUGUGUGUGUAUAUAUAUAUAUAUAUAUAUAUAUAUGUACCAUCAAGCCAAGUGAAAUAAAUCACAGUUGUGGCAGGUACCAGAGUCACACAAAUAUCACCCAUGCCGGUGACAUGUAAAAGCACCCAUUACACUCUUUGAGUGGUUGGCGUUAUGAAGGGCAUCCAGUGGUAGAAAUCAUGCCAAAUCAGACUGGAGUCUGGUGCAGCCUUCUAGCCCUGGUCAAACUGUCCAAUCCAUUCCAGCAUUAAAUGACGAUGAUAUUCAUAUAUAUAUAUAUCAUUGUUAUUAUGCAAAAGUUUUUUAAGUCCAAAAUAUUGCUUUUUCAGAAAACAAAAAAAUAGUUUCACCAUUCCAUAGCAAAAUUGUUGUACAACACUUUGACAAUUUUUUAUAUCUUGGCAUCCGAAGCAGCUGGAGAUACGAUAGUUUGACCAAAAGAACCGGCUAUUGCAAGCAAAAAUAAAUAUUGAAAAAAAGGCCAUUGGGCAAUUUUGGACACAUGACAGUUUAACAUAAUAGUAAUGAUAUGUAUUCACAUGUGUGUGUGUGUAUAUAUAUGUAUAGUUGAAAUUUAUAGAAAAACAAUAGAUGAAGAUAGGUGUAUGAACAAAAGCAAGUGUAUUAGUUUGACACCCGGGAAAAUGAAAAAGUCUUUUAUGUUUCAAGCCUACGCUCUUCAACAGGAAGGAAUAAGAGAAAAUACACAGAGAGAGAGAAUGUGAAGAUUUCAGCGGUCUGCACACACACAUAUAUAUAUAUAUAUACACAUAGACACAUAGACAUAUAUAUAGUUUCCUUUAUUAAAGCUGAAGCUAAAAGUUCUUCUCAUGAUGUGAAAUAUACAACUGAGUUUCUUGAAAGAAAAGAAAUAGUUAUACUUUAUCAUCAUGAUCAUUAUUUAAUGCCUGUUUCCAAUGCUGGCAUAUAUAUGUGUGUGUGUGUUUGCAUAUGCUGCAUACACACACAUUUAUUUAUAUAUAUAUAUAUAUAUGUAUGGGUUGAGGAAGUGGGAGAGGAGGUAGGUGAUCACAGUGAAUGAGAGCUGUGAAGAGUGAAGUGUGGGUUUUGAGUAAAGAGGGUCAAGAAAGUGGAAGGUGGUGGGGAAAAAGUUGUGAAGAAGGGGUGGCAGUGUAUUUUGAAAUUUUGGUUGUUGAGA
rnacentral:lncRNA from 1 species